AUUGGAGCGGGCAACUCUCACAUCAGGAAAGAAGACACCUUACCUGACUCAUCGACAGAUUGGACACCUACAAACCGUCAAACGAUAAUAAAAACAGAUAUCAGGGUGUUAUGUUUCACAGUCAUUUGCAAACAGGACAAGGACAACCUUAAGGAAAGCUGAGGAAAGCUGUUCUCAGAGACAAGACUAUACCUCCCUAGACUAGUGUUGUUUGUACUAAACCCAGAGCAGCCCUGAACGAAUCGACAGACUGACCCAGCUCAUAUUCUAAAGCGAUUAAUCAUUUGAAAGCAUUAAUUUUUACCAGAAAACAAGACAGAAAUACUAAGGAAGAAAAUCUCUGCAUUAAUCACUUAAUCGUUUGAUUCUGAUUCAUUCAGACAUUUCUAAUAAUGUUGAUACAAAUGCUAAUACUGCACUCAUGUUUAUAAUAAAAGAUGACAUAAUCAUUCAUUAAAAAAACUUUUAAACCCAGCAAAGAAAUAA